CGGGGCGAGGCCGAACCGAGGGGCGGCGUGCGGGCGGGCAGUGAGCAUCCCUCUGGGUCCCGGCUGUCAAAGGGCGUGCGGGCUCGCAGGGGGAGUCUGUAUGCAUGGGGCUGCCCUGGCGAUGGGUGCUGUCUCCUCCACGGCUGCCCCGAGGUCGCCGCGGUACAGCGAGGACCGUCCUGCUGUAACGGCAGGAUUUUGUGUCCCACUUUGCUCAUUUGUCCCGAAAAGGAACAGAGUUGAACAGCCUUACCCGAGGCCUAAUACCAGCAGCUGUCCUAAUGGUGCUUGAACCGCUGCCUUAGUCGUGCUGGAAAGCUGAACAUCAAGCAACUGUAAAAUAACAAUGGAAAAGCUUGGCCACAUCUAACUACAGCCUUCCAGUUGUAACCGCUUCUCUUGGGAAAGGCACUGCAGCUCCUUUGAUGCUGGUUUGGGCAUGGAGGACUCUAUGGCAUUGUCACCUGCAGAGAUGUAGGAGUCUUGCUGGUCCUCAGCUCUCAUGGAAUCAGGGGGAAACACGAUUGUCCAGCUCCCCAAAUAAACUAGUAAUGGAGACCAAAAUAAUGGAUGCUGUUCUGUUGAAAACCAAUGACAAAUAGCAAUCAAAUUCCAAUCUUGCUGAUUUUCAAUAACAAAAAUUUAUAAAACCAAGGCUCGCUGCACCUCACAUCCUCAGGUAAGAGGGAGGACCCACUCUAAUGUAUUGUUAGGAAAUGUUUUGCACCCCUAAAACUUCAUUGUGCCCUUAGUCAAUAGUAGCAAAUCUACCCCCCAAAAGUCAGACUACGUUCACCUCACUUUACCUCGGUGCAUGUAUCACAACAUCCAGCUUGCUUGUUUUCCUCUAGUUGGAGCAGAUUGAUACCUGGUGGUGUCAGCAGGUUUGCUUCAUUUUUCCCAUGUGGUGCAUGCUGGGAAGGUGCCAAGUAUCUGGGAAGCCAGCAAAGCUGGAUCUGCAGGAUAGCACAGCUGGCUCUGCAGGAUGGCACAGCUGGAUUUGUGGUAUGGAACAGCUGCCUGUGUAAGUAAGCACAAGAAGAUCUGUUGGAUAAUACAGCUGGAUCUGCAGGAGGACACAACUGGAUCUGUGGGAUGGCACAGCUGGAUCUGCAGGAGGGCACUGCUGCCUGUGUAGGUAAGGACAGCUGGAUCUGUGGGGCAGCUCAGCUGGAUUUGCAGGAUGCACAGCUGGCUGAGUGGGGAAGCACAGCUAGAUCUGCAGUGUGGCUGCCUCUUGCUCUUGGCACACCUGCUGGUCCUUUUACAGCAUGAUAUCAGUCAUGUGAUUUCUGCUUUUCAAUUCCCAUUCUCCUGCCUUGCUGGUGUAACCAGAGCCAUGUCUGACUGCCCGGGUGGUCCUGUGGUGCUGUUCCUGCAGCCAUAGCUCCUGGUCCUUGGUUAGCCAUGCAGAAAGCCCACUGGCACCCUCUCCAGUCUUGCUUUUCCUUCUGUGUUUUGGAGUGUGCCAGGGUUUGUGGGCUGUGACUCCAUUUUUGGAAAGUGCUGGCAAGCAUUGCCUGCAGCUCUUCUGGUUUUCCCAGCCCAGGCCUACCUGACAGAAGUGCAGCUCAUCUCUGUGCCAGAAUUAAUCCUGCCAUGAACAUACAGCCUCCAGAUAGGAGGUGGCCAGAUCCCCCAUGUGAGUUUCUCAGCAUAUCCAGGCACUUUAAAUUCAUAAAGAAACCAGAGAAAAGGAGGAGGUGGUGGCCUCCAGCUCUGUGCAGUAAAGUCUUUGCUCUGGAGACCUCAAGUCUGAGCGUACUUCUCAGACUAGGGGUGCUUUCUGGUCCUCUGUAACACCUGGUUCCUGCCCCUCUGCACUGCAGCUUCUUGCAGGUAGGCCUUCCUCAUGCCUUUAAGCUCCUUUUCCUUAAAGAGCAUGUAAGGCUGUCUGCAACUCCCAAAUCACAGACUCGACCUUUUACAGUUCUUUGAAAUGUCCCUGGUGCGUUGCUGGGUCCAGAGUUCCACAGCAACCUGCUGAGAGCUGCACAAAACCUUCAUCUCCAUCCGAAAUGUUUUCACUGCUUAAAUCUGGAUGGUACCCAGAUGUUAGGCCAAAGCUACCAAUGUUUUGGAGAUUCUUUUCUCCUGGUUUCCUGUCUGUAGUGUUCCCUCAGCAGGAACACA